GUAAGAAACAUGCUCACAUAUGAUUUUAAACCGUAUCCUAAAAGCCCCUACACUAAAGCGUUCUCGACUACCAUUCAUUAAAAAUAAAAAUCAGCGCUAAACGAUUCAUUGUUGCACGUUCCCUUUCGCGAUUUCCAUCUCCGGUUCGUUCUCCUCUCGUCGUGCACGCGAUUUCCGCUCUGUUCUCCAUCAACACAGUGCGAUUUCUUCCACUAGGGUUAGUCGAUUUCAUUGAGUCUCUCCAUCACUAGGGUUCAUCUUCACGAUUUCCUUCUCUGCGCGCUCUCCAUCAACGCACAAUGCGAUUUCCUCGAGCCUCCCCUUGACUAGGGUUCAUUUUUCGUUUGCGAUUUGGUGCAUGGAUCAAAUUUUCAGAUGUCUCUAUGUUGUAUAUAAGAGCAGAAUUGACUUGCAAUUUUAGUUAUCUUGUACUCCGGUGCUCUUUGGACGUGGCCAAUGGUGGUGUAAUUCCAAAUCUUCAACGGUAUGAAAGUGGCCCCUAAAAUAUGGAAACCUCCUUGCUACGUGGGUGUGAAUGUGGCACAUGUCUUAAAGUAUGGUAACCUCCUUACUACGUGGAACCUCAUGCAAUGAAUCAUGGUUGGCUACCAGUAAAACUACUUCAAAGCUCUCGGCCAUUUUACUUUUGAAUUCCAACAUAUAAUCUCGACUCCAAGAUCGGUGCCAUAUCUCGACUAUGCCAUAUUUCGACUAGGAGAAUGAAGUUUUGGCACAUGCUUGUAGCUUUAAUAUUUCGACAAUCAUAUGUAGUCGAUAAUAAUUUGGCAACAUGAUAAAAAUUCCACUAAACCAUACCAUGCAUCCAUGUACAUCAUAUCUCAAGAAUUGAUUUCCAAACUAGGAAAUUUUGGUGUUAACAAAGUGUUAAUCUGAUGGUUUAUUUUCCUCACAUUAUCUAGGCAGAAGAGUGGGAUUGACUUGCUUGCUUGCUACUUUUGUUUGGUUUGGUUUGGGUUGUUCUUCCACUGCAUGUACUAAUCGCUGUAAGACACACAAUUGAGGCAUAUGGCUUGUGAAUCCACAACAUGUUCCCUUCCUUUGUCUUUUUUCUUUUGCUGUUUUACUUAACUCGGUAACUGGAGAAUUAUUUUUGUGAGUAAUUUUGUCUCAAAUCCUAAAAUUACAUGGUUAUUUUGACAACUGCAAUUUGUAGAAAGUAGCUUAAUAACUGAUAAUGAAUGCUAGGGUGAAGUCACCAAUUACUCUGUUUGGCAUUUUGUAUUAUGCAUAGAGUUUUGAUCUGAACUAAGUUGGAUAAAUUCUCAGGUAUAUUGUUGGAAAAAUUACACCAGCGCCUGCACGUGAAGUUCGAUCAUCUGAUUUUGUAACAAACUUUAUUGUUUAGAGAGAGAUACAUAUAAGUUAAAAUUUUCCAUUUUCCUCUGCUUAUCACCAUCUUCAUCUUUUCCUUUGUUGUUCAAGCUUUCUAAGCUCCUUCAUCUUUAUGUCUGAUCACAAAAUAAAAGAAGGGCCCCUUUUAUGGUUUAUUUUCAAGGUGACUAAGGACGACUUACAAGUGAACAAAGUUUUCAAACAACGUUGCUUGGGAAGAUCUUUCUUCAAACAUCUGUUUAGAUCAAGGGGGUCUCUUGCAACUUCAGACAAGCUCUAAUCUAAUAACAACUUCAUGAGUAACCAAUGUCUAUACAUCUUUUACUGUUUUAAGUUUUCAAAUGUUUGUUUUGCUUGCCAAGAAAUUUCUCUCAAACAUGAUUUUUGCCUAUAAAUUUAUGUCCUUGCCACCUCUUAUUGAUUGCGAAAUAUUAAUAUUGAAUGAAACUUUCUAUCAACAGAGAAAUUCAAAAACUUUGUCCUAACCCAAAUUUCUAUCCUUGUGAACUCAGUCUUCCCUCAAUUUCUAUCCUCUUCUAUUGCGGUGAGUAGAUUCGGCCACAAAUUCUGUUACAGUUUUCUUCUCUUAGCUUUUAUUUCAUUGUUCUUCCUUUAAUUUUGAACUACUUUUAAAAGCUAUUUGAGUUAUAUGUGUAUUUGUGUGGACAUGAGUCAUUUUGGUUAUAUUUGUGGUGGACUGAUUUCAUCUAUUGGAUUGUGGUUAUAUAUUUUCAUUUUCUAGAUUCAUUAGAUAAGAUUUAAGAUUUUAGUGUGUAUAGUCAAGGUAGAAGUUGAAACAGGAAGAAAACUUGAGAUGGUGUCUAAGCUUCCAAACCCACUUCAUUGAUGAAUUCCCACUUUUUAAGAAACAUUUAAGAUGGUUUUCUCCCUUAUUAACAGGUUUGCGAAUAUUGAUUAACAUUAAACAUUGUAUAGUUACUAUAGUGUUGCACAUGUGGUUGAACUGCAACAUUAGUUCAGGGGCAUGUGUUUUUCUUCCUUGGUUUAAUCAUUCAUGAGUCUGAUUGUAUCAUAUCUAAGUUCUUGGCAAUAUUUUAUUUUUUAUGCUAAAACUAUAUUUCUUCUUGCAGGCCAAAAAAUAAGCCAUACCUUCUUGAGUUUUCAAAUUAUUUAAGGAUAAAUUUAUGUGUUUGGAGCAAUUUAGUUUUCUUGUAGCUUUUUAAAGUGGUAAGUCUUGAAGUGCACCCAACUGUUUAAAAGCCUGUUGAUCCUAGUAUUUUUAUUUAUAAAUAUACUAUUAGUAAGUAUCCUUUCUCAGCUUACUUAGUUCAAUUUGACAUGAAAUUUUAAGUGAAUAGAAUGUUAAGUAUUUUCUUAAUGUAUUCCUUUUUUACUGCUUAACAUGGUUAGGAGCUAGAAGGAUCUUCACUACUAUAAUGUAGGUCAAGAGAUCUCCUCAGCAGGCCAUAGAUUGGGAGUGAGAGGGUAGGGAAAAUGGAAAUGAUUUUAAAAUAUGUCAGGAAUCCUUGAAGUUCGGUUGUAUGGUUUGGAUAGUAUACAAAUAGGGAACGGUUAUAAAAGUGUACUCUUUGGUCAACAAUAAAAACGUUCUGAAAUACCUCUGACUACGUUUCAUUUGUGUUCUCCUUAUGAUCGUGGAGAACGGUUUUUCUUUGACAUCACAGAAAACGAGUGUAAAAGUGUUCCCUUAGAAUACUCAGAGAAACGUUCUCUUAUAACUGAAUUGCCAACGCUUUUCUGGAUGUGUUCUCUUUGAUCCCGGAAAGUGUUGUAUUAGGAUUAGGAAACGCCUUAGACGACCACACCUGUGAAAACGUUUCCAAAAGCAAAGAGAACGCUUUUUCGGGCUUCGGCUACACUUUCCAAGCGUUGCUGUAGGACCUAAAUGUUGUAGUGAAAUAUAAUUUGGACCUAAUUUGAACCUAUAAAACAUUGGUUUAAAAAUUAAACCACUUAAUGUGACCGGUUUUAUAGGAUAAAAGUAUUAUUUUCACAUUAUUUUAAGGAUAGCUUGAUCGUCUACAACACUUGCAAACCUCGGAAGAGAGACCAUUUAUU